UUGGAGGAAGCUCUACCGACAAUGGCUUGGGCUUCAAAUCCCACUUAGAGUAUGUCAACCAAGCUGCAUUGCCUUGGAGAGCUCUCGGAGGUGUCAAAAAACGAGGCCAGGAGUCAAAAUGGACAAACAAUAAGCUACCUAAGUGGAGGGUGUGAAGAGGCCCAUGUUGAUAAAGACACAAGAUCUAGUUUCAGUCCUGUCCUCGAGCUAGGUUUCCAGCUAUCCUCGUGAGAGAGAGAGAGAGAGAGGAGAGAGAGAGAGAGAGAGAGAGAGAGAGAGAGAGAGAGAGAGAGAGAGAAGCAGCAGCUGUAGCAACGAGAAGUUCAUAUUUAUUAUAUUUUUCUCCACGUUCUUUUACAUGAUACUCUUUUAUUUGAUAUAUUGUUUGAAGUUGCAUGAGCCGUUGUCCAACUGCAAGAUGGUCGCAAGGGAAUCUGCUUGGACAAUAGGGACAUAUCCACAAACCUAGUCUUAUGAUUAACUUCACCAUCAUGCAAACUCGUAGGUAUACCAAACAGCCAAUCGCUUAUAAAUAAUCUCAAUAAAAUCAAAAAGCUUUAUUAUCCAUAUCUCACUAACCUUACCAGUGCUGUUCCUUUUUUUAAAGCAAAUAACAAUGCUGAUUUCCGAGAAAAUUGUCAAUUUAUUGCUGGAGGACAUCUAUACAUAUAUAGUAAUGAUAUGCUACUCGGUUGCAAUAUGAUAUUAAAACUGUUGCUUGAGAAUGCAAUCAUAGUAGGAGAUAAAAGCUGUAUGAAUUCAACUUUUUGAUACACAAUGUGGCUAUAAUUUGUAAACAAAUAUCACAUGCACAAAAAAAAAAAAAACUAAUUUUGAAUGACAACGUCAUUGAAACAAUGCUGAUUUCCGAGAAAAUUGUGAAUUUAUUGCUGGAGGACAUCUAUACAUAUAUAGUAAUGAUAUGCUUCUCGGUUGCAAUAUGAUAUUAAAACUGUUGCAUGAGAAUGCAAUCAUAGUAGGAGAUAAAAGCUGUAUGAAUUCAACUUUUUGAAACACAAUGUGGCUAUAAUUUGUAAACAAAUAUCACAUGCACAAAAAAAAAAAAAA